UACGUAGGGGGCCAGCGUUGCUCGGAAUUACUGGGCGUAAAGGGUUCGUAGGUGGUGCGGCAAGUUGGGAGUGAAAUCUCUGGGCUUAACUCAGAGGCUGCUUUCAAAACUGCCGCGCUCGAGUGCGAGAGAGGUCAGUGGAAUUGCAGGUGUAGCGGUGAAAUGCGUAGAUAUCUGCAGGAACACCCGUGGCGAAGGCGGCUGACUGGAUCGCAACUGACACUGAGGAACGAAAGCUAGGGGAGCAAACAGG
rnacentral:rRNA from 1 species